CGAUUUCAUUCCGAGCCACCACUCUGAAGUAGUACUUCCUGCCUGGGAGCAGCCCCGUCACUGUGUACUUGUUGCUGAAGACACGCUCGGCUGCCGUGUACCAGGUGGCUGUGCUUGCAUCCCGCUUCAUGAUGAUGUAGUGAGCCUCACCGUCCUCCUGCACAUCUGGGCUGUGGUUCCAGCCAUCUGCCAAGUCCGAUGGAAGAUAAGAUGGGGCAAGUCUCAGGCAGCUGGUGUCUUGGAGUCGGAAAACUAUUUCUGAAGUCUGCUCUGCCAUUUACUAGCCUCGUGACCUGGGGUAAGUUACUUAUCUGAGACUUCUUUCCUCAAUUGCAAAAUAGAGCUGACAAUGACUAUUUCGUAGAAAUAGUGGGUAAAGAGACUGGCAUGUAGUUACUGUUCAGUAAAAAUGAAUCCAUUCCUUCCUUGGGGGUUUAGAGCUUUAUUUUAAAGCUUCCAGCUCUCUUUAAGCAGUCACCCCAAUUUUUAAUGGAUUCAUCUCCAUUUGUCCCUCCUGCCCCUCCACCCAUUUCUACUCUCUCUGCCGACCAUACUCUGUAUGAUAAAGUCUUGCUCUGUGGUGUCAAAGAAAUCUUCAUGGCCCUAAGGCAUGACUUUCCUGUGGUAGGAACUCAAGCGGCACUGGGGAGCUGUGCUUUGGAGAGUGUACAGGGAUGGGUCUUGGAGGCCUCUGCCUUCUCUCCAUACCUGCCACGCGCACAUGGAUGUCAUAGCGUGCUUCUCCAAACUCAUUCUGAAGCAAGAUUCGGUACACCCCUGAGUCAGAGCGCUUGGUGCUAUUAAUGAGGAACUGGGAGUGGUUUUUGCUCUUGGUAAUUGUCUCUCGGCCCUUGGUGGGAACGCCAUCUUUCUGCCAGAUCACGUCAGGUGGUGGUGAGCCCUGAGUAGUGACAGGAGAUGGCACAACUGGUCACACAGAUGAUAUUUGGGGGCAGGCCUUCCUCCAUUGUCGAGGAGUUUCCUGCCAGGCUGUCGCACUAGGGGUCUGGUGAGGGGCAGAGUCAGAGUCAGAGUCAGAGACUGUGAUGGCUACAAUAGCCAUCUUGGUUAUGUGGACAGUGUAUGGAGGUCAGGGUCAGGGACAACUCACAGAGAAGGCUGCAUGGAUGCAGAGGGCUGUCCCAGCGCGAACCACCAUGUGACUCUUCAGCCGGGCACUGAGGUCAAACUUGGGUGCAGCUGAGAUGGAGGAGACAGAGGUGGAGGCAUGGAUCUGUCUUUCAAGAAGACUCUGCUUUAAGCCUCCUCAUCAAAGCCUUCCCAACCUCUCCUCCUUUAUGCCCCCACUACAGGCCAUACAGACAUCUAGCUGCCCUGCAACCCUGUGAAGCAUUUAUUUGUUUUCUCAUCUGUCUCCUUCUACUAGUACGCAAGACCCUGGAAGGCAAGUCCUUGUGUCUUGUUUCUAUAACCCUAACACCUCC
rnacentral:lncRNA from 10 species